UACGGAGGGUGCAAGCGUUAUCCGGAUUCACUGGGUUUAAAGGGUGCGUAGGUGGGUUGGUAAGUCAGUGGUGAAAUCUCCAGGCUUAACUUGGAAACUGCCAUUGAUACUAUCAAUCUUGAAUACCGUGGAGGUCAGCGGAAUAUGUCAUGUAGCGGUGAAAUGCUUAGAUAUGACAUAGAACACCAAUUGCGAAGGCGGCUGGCUACACGAAUAUUGACACUGAUGCACGAAAGCGUGGGGAUCAAACAGG
rnacentral:rRNA from 1 species